UACGUAGGGUCCGAGCGUUGUCCGGAAUUACUGGGCGUAAAGAGCUCGUAGGUGGUUUGUCGCGUUGUCCGUGAAAACUCACAGCUCAACUGUGGGCGUGCGGGCGAUACGGGCAGACUGGAGUACUGCAGGGGAGACUGGAAUUCCUGGUGUAGCGGUGGAAUGCGCAGAUAUCAGGAGGAACACCGGUGGCGAAGGCAGGUCUCUGGGCCACUACUGACGCUGAGAAGCGAAAGCAUGGGGAGCGAACAGG
rnacentral:rRNA from 1 species